UACGGAGGGUGCGAGCGUUGUCCGGAAUCAUUGGGCGUAAAGGGCGCGUAGGUGGCGGGACAAGCGUGCGGUGAAAGCCUGGGGCUCAACCCCGGGUCGGCCGUGCGAACUGUUUUGCUUGAGCACUGUAGAGGCAGGCGGAAUUCCGGGUGUAGCGGUGGAAUGCGUAGAGAUCGGCAGGAACACCCAGGGGGAAACCAGUCGACUGGGCAUCUACUGACGCUGAGGUGCGAGAGCGUGGGGAGCGAACCGG
rnacentral:rRNA from 1 species